rnacentral:lncRNA from 1 species
UGGCUAUUGCUUGUCGUGACAAAUGAAGCCAGAUGUGACAUACGUGCGGCUCUUAUGUCAGUAGAACUAAAUCGUACCUAACUUUUUACUCAAAACUCAGAAUCGCUAUUAAAGUAUAUUUUCAGAAAUGUCUUGACGAGAUGUAUUUGUCUAAGGGCUGAAAUUCCAUCAUGUUGAAGUUUUUUUUUUUUUUAACUAUUUUCUGAAUUUUGAUUUUUUUACGUAUAAAACUUGGGCUGACAUAAGUGUUUUUUCGAAUUUUAAAUUUAAGCUAUUGCACGAAAUUUGAGUUCCUGUAAGUGGAAUUGGGUUGAUUCGUUAUGUCCAUAUGUCGUAUGUCGGGCCUCUACUUCAACUAAGCCCAUUUACAGAUAAAAAGCUUAUAUUGCAAGUUGUGCAGGGUGUUGAUACUUUUUUCAAAGAGAGAAAAUGAGGACGAUAUGGGAGUGUAUGGUGAACUGACCCCUCAUUCUCCUCGCAAAAUUUUUUUCUUUUUCAAUUUUGUGCAUGAUGGUGCUAGGUACACUUUCAGGGCACGCACGCGUGCGGGGCAUCGUAGCUGGGACCUGAAGAUUACGCCGGUUGUCGCCCUGCUUCGGCAAGGAUUUUUGGUAGCACUGUAGCUGUGUUUUGAUGGAGGAGCGCGAUGUCUAAUGUCUAUCAUGAUGAACCCAACACGCAUCUCGACUCGCCAUCGUUGUGGCCGUUUGCAAUUUUAUGAUGUUUGGUUUGUAACAGGCUCGAAAGAGACGAAUGUUCUGAGUGUUCCCUUAUUUGUUCUUACAAAAGUUACGUCACUUUGGUGGUGGUGACCAUGAAUCACCCUUUCUUAUGGGUGUACGAGGUGUGCUCGAAACUGGACGAUGAUGAUUUCUCGUCCAUGACGGGAAUUCUGGGUGACCAAGACGUUGAAGUCUCACACAACGAGGAUAUCGAAAGAGGACAACAGUGCCCACAAUGUGCUUAUGAAAUGAUUGACUGCAAAAAAUGUUUAUGUUUUUAUAUGUAUCCUAUCUGUGUUAGUUCGCCAACUUUAAAGGAAAUCCAAUUGGGACCCUAUGCUUGACGAAGGUUUGCUAGUAAGGAUUAACGUGUAUACUCAUGGAGACCGCGAGUCGCUUGCGACCAGUCUUAGCGUCCGUGGAAGGAGGCCUCCUUCCCGGUGCGUGACAGAAAGGACAGAUAUGGAUCAUAUAGACCGAAAAUGGGAUGCGCAUUCACGUUUAUGAAAAUGAAAGAAAUAUUUUAGUAAGCGC